UACGGGGGGGGGCGAGCGUUGUCCGAAGUUACUGGGCGUAAAGCGCGUGUAGGCGGGUUGCUAAGUCCGGCUGUGAAAGCCCGGUGCUCAACGCCGGAGGGUCGGUGGAUACUGGCAGUCGUUGAAGUGGCUAGGGGAAAUGGAAUUACCGGUGUAGCGGUGAAAUGCGUAGAUAUCAGGAGGAACACCAAUAGCGAAGGCAGCUCGCUGGGACGUUACUGACACUGAGGCGACGAAAGCGUGGGGAGCGAACAGG
rnacentral:rRNA from 1 species